rnacentral:rRNA from 1 species
AGCUCCAAUAGCGUAUAUUAAAGUUGUUGCGGUUAAAAGCUCGUAGUUGGGUUUCUGUAUGAAUGGUGCGGUGCACCCUUUGGGUGAGUUACUGCAACCUUUCGUGCAUCUUUCUGAGAAGGCGUUCUUCACUUCGUUGUGAGGCCGCAUGGCUCAGAACAUUUACUUUGAGGAAAUGAGAGUGUUUCAAGCAGGCACGUGCCUUGAAUACGUUAGCAUGGAAUAAUAGUAUCGGACCAUCAUCCAGCUGUUGGUGUCUGGGCGAAGGUAAAGGUGAAUAGGGAUUGUUGGGGGCAUUCGUAUUUAACUGUCAGAGGUGAAAUUCUUGGAUUUGUUGAAGACGGACUACUGCGAAAGCAUCUGCCAAAGAUGUUCUCA